GUUUAAUAAAAUAAGUUUAGUUUUUAAAAUUUACCGCCAAAAUCGUUUGCAAAUUGCGAACUUGCUUGCGAACUUGGUUCGGAAUUUCAUAACGAAUUUCGAUAAUUUGAUGCGAAACUUCCGAAUUUGAUUGGCCGGUUUCCAAUCAACUUGAUGAUCUCUUGUUUAUAGUUCCCAAAUUCCCAACCAACCUCGCAAUUGGCGUAACCAAAGUUUCGUGAAAUCAACUGUAAAAUAAGCUAUACAUAAAUAAUAAAUCCCGUAUACAAGUAAAACUCUCCUUUGUGCUUUUAUAUAAUAUUUGCCUUACUAUGUAAUGUACUAAAUUGCGAUAGAGAGGAAUCAAUUAGUCCACUAUACAAACUUUAAUACUUUUAAUAGUUUCCUUAUAAUAACACAUGACAUAAAAAUUUUGUCCCCAAUCAGUAUGCAUCACUUGAAAGUAGCUUGAAAAUGAUGAAGAAAUGACCUGGACAAUUUAUUCACAGCUCAUCUCAUUCCCAGGUCAUCGGGUAUUUUGUAUUUUUGUGUUACGACGUCACUAUUUGUGCUUAAGAUGGCA